ensembl:rRNA 5S_rRNA 5S ribosomal RNA
GCUCACAGCUAUACCUGAAUGUGCCCAAUCUCAUCUGAGUUUGGACACUAAGCAAAGUUGGACCUGGUGAGCC